AACGAACGCUGGCGGCAGGCUUAACACAUGCAAGUCGAACGCCCCGCAAGGGGAGUGGCAGACGGGUGAGUAACACGUGGGAACCUUCCUCGUUGUACGGAACAACUCAGGGAAACUUGAGCUAAUACCGUAUACGUCCGAGAGGAGAAAGAUUUAUCGCAAUGAGACAGGGUCCGCGUCGGACUAGCUAGUUGGUGGGGUAACGGCCUACCAAGGCAACGAUCCGUAGCUGAUCUGAGAGGAUGAUCAGCCACACUGGGACUGAGACACGGCCCAGACUCCUACGGGAGGAAGCAGUGGGGAAUCUUGGACAAUGGGCGCAAGCCUGAUCCAGCCAUGCCGCGUGAGUGAAGAAGGCCUUCGGGUUGUAAAGCUCUUUUGUCAGGGACGAUAAUGACGGUACCUGAAGAAUAAGCCCCGGCAAACUUCGUGCCAGCAGCCGCCGUAA
rnacentral:rRNA from 1 species